rnacentral:lncRNA from 1 species
GCCAUAAAGGCACUGCCCACCAGUCUGGGAGAGCUGGCCUCUGCUUUGACCCUUCCUGCCUCCUACACGGGUAGGAGAGGCCCGUGUAUCCCCUGCUUCCUGACCCUUAGCAAACUUCUUUGAGCCGUUAGGAUUUUUCCCUUCCAUGGUAUUCUGGAAAGAGCUCUAAGAGACCCCUCACCUGCCGCAGCUCCCAAUUCAAAGAAACCAAGAUCAAGGGUCGGAGGGAGAAUAGAACUUGCCCAAGACUCCGCAGCGGGUCGUGGGCAGAGCCAGGCUGCAAGCCAGGCCUGGGGACUCCGGCCUCUCUCCCUCUAGGCUUUUGUCUGGGGGAGGGGCUUCUGGAGAGGAGAGGCCUGUGAGAGUGGCGGGCAGGUGGGGGCCUGCACACAGGGGCUGCUCCAUAGCCCAAGACCUGGGCUCCCGGCCAGAGGGUCUGGAACGAGGAAGUACUGCCUCUUCCCCCACAGAGGCUGGAGAGGGCAGACGGGCCUAGAUGAGCCUAGACGCUGGGUCCCACCAGUCCCCCAAAGCCAGAUGUUCCUGUUCUCACCUGGGUGUGUGAGAUUUUUUGUUUCAUUUUGUUCCUUACAAGGUGAAGCUGUGUGAACCGUGAGCGUGAGCUCUGGGCCAGGCUCCAUGGCCCUUCUAAGGAAAAGGCCCCUUAGGACACCUCUGGGCUGUGAGGCUUCCCCGGCUUCCCCUCUGGGCUUGGAGGA